rnacentral:tmRNA from 1 species
GCUCUUCCAAAGUGCGGGCGGGCUUCCUAUAUGGGAAGGGCCGGUUUCGACCGGCUAUGAGGAUAAAUGGUGUCGUGGAAUAGACACAGCGGACCCGGGGGCAGUACCCGGCGGCUCCACCACAAGCCCGCGUCCUUUUCGAAGGGGUGCGCGGGCUUCUGACGGGGCCGAACCAGGAUCGACGUGUGUUCAAAGACGAUGUUUUCUUCCGGGCUGAGUAACCCGUUAAAGGCUCAAAA